UGCCAGCUAGGGGGAAAGGAGGGAGGGGGUAUAUCCCAGCUUGAAUGCCGGGGAAAAAAUACCAGACCCCGGAGCAGACCACGAAUUCCAGAAACAGAUGGAGGAGGAGGAGGAGGAGGAGAGGAGCGACGCGAAAGCAAUCAGAUUCAUCACAAUGGUGUGCAGGAGAAGCCGAAGUUCUCAUUUAAAGGGGCGACGAAUUAGCCGGCGUUCAAUUCUCGAAAGCAGAUUAAGGGGAGCGAGAGAAGAAAGCUUCCGACGAAGACAACCCCCCCCCCCAAAAAAGCUCUGUCUGAUCAAGCGGGAAGCGACAAAAUAAGGAAUGGGGGCUCAAGAAACGACCCAAAAACAUCUUCGACGUGCAAGCUGGUGCGUGCGCACAAAGUCUGGCAUCCAACUUGGCACGCAGGAGUACGAGAAGCGGAAUACGUGGAUCACCGAGUGUCACUUCAAUGAAGAUAUCUGAGAGAAAAACAUGAGGUGCAACAUUGGAAGUAGAACUGAAAAGAUGAGUGACUCAGCCAGACCUAAACUGGACAUCAAUAAUUUUUACCUUAUCCUUUCCUUGAAUUGUACUUACUCCAUCUGAACAUUACUGUAUGCAGAUUUUGUAAAGUUACACCAACAUUUUAAUUCUUAUGAUCCUCUAAACCAUCUUUCUCAGAAUCAAUGUUGGAUGGGAGUAUUGGUUUGAUCUCUGAGGCAAAAACCUAGUUUUUAGGUGACAUGAAAGGGCAGUACUUUUUAUGCCCAAUCCUUUCACUCCUCUUAAGUGAUGAUAGUGGAAUUUCCCAUUUUCAGUUAUCAUAGUUAAUGCAUAUAUUCUGCACUUUUGACUUCAGAAGGAGCACCACCUCAGCCAGAAAAGUAUCUUCACUCAGUUCUAUCUAUUCUACAUGCUCUUCCCUUCACGUGAUAUAAACAUUAAAGGUAGGCAAGUGCUUUUGUA